rnacentral:rRNA from 1 species
GAUGAACGCUGGCGGCGUGCCUAAUACAUGCAAGUCGAGCGAACAGACGAGGAGCUUGCUCCUCUGACGUUAGCGGCGGACGGGUGAGUAACACGUGGAUAACCUACCUAUAAGACUGGGAUAACUUCGGGAAACCGGAGCUAAUACCGGAUAAUAUAUUGAACCGCAUGGUUCAAUAGUGAAAGACGGUUUUGCUGUCACUUAUAGAUGGAUCCGCGCCGCAUUAGCUAGUUGGUAAGGUAACGGCUUACCAAGGCAACGAUGCGUAGCCGACCUGAGAGGGGGAUCGGCCACAAUGGAACUGAGACACGGUCCAGACUCCUACGGGAGGCAGCAGUAGGGAAUCUUCCGCAAUGGGCGAAAGCCUGACGGAGCAACGCCGCGUGAGUGAUGAAGGUCUUCGGAUCGUAAAACUCUGUUAUUAGGGAAGAACAAAUGUGUAAGUAACUAUGCACGUCUUGACGGUACCUAAUCAGAAAGCCACGGCUAACUACGUG